rnacentral:rRNA from 1 species
CACGUAGGGCGCAAGCGUUGUCCGGAAUUAUUGGGCGUAAAGAGCUCGUAGGCGGUCUGUUGCGUCCGCUGUGAAAACUCGGGGCUUAACCCCGAGCCUGCAGUGGAUACGGGCAGACUAGAGGUAGGUAGGGGAGAAUGGAAUUCCCGGUGUAGCGGUGGAAUGCGCAGAUAUCGGGAGGAACACCUGUGGCGAAAGCGGCUCACUGGACCACAACUGACGCUGAGGCGCGAAAGCUAGGGGAGCAAACAGG